GUUCUUAUUAGGCCAAAAAAAAAUAUAUGUCUGUUUCCUGCUUCCAAGGCAAAUAAAUCAGGGUCGGUAGGUCGGGAUUUUUUUUUUAAUUUUUGCACUCCCUGUCAGAUUUGCAGUCGGUUACAUGUCAUGUUUGGUUAGGGUCCUGUACCCCAAAAUGAUUUAAUCCCUUUAAAGAAGCUUUAAUUGAAUAAUCCUCCCAGUGCUGACAUUUUUUAAACCUUAAUUGUAGCACAUUUGUGCUGGGAGCAGCCAUUUUGAUUGUUUGGGCAUAGUAAAAUACGGAUCUGGAUCGGACCGGAAAUGAAUUUUCCGGACCGGAAACGAUUUUUUUCCGGAUUUGAAUAAAAAGAUCUAGGGUCGGGGGGUUUGAGUCAGGGUCGGUCGGGAAACAGGAAACAGACAUAUAUUUUUUUUUGGCCUUAUUGUGACCU
rnacentral:lncRNA from 1 species